rnacentral:rRNA from 1 species
AAUGAACGCUGGCGGCAUGCCUAACACAUGCAAGUCGAACGAGACCUUCGGGUCUAGUGGCGCACGGGUGCGUAACGCGUGGGAACCUGCCCUUAGGUUCGGAAUAACUCCCCGAAAGGGGUGCUAAUACCGGAUAAUGUCUUCGGCCCAAAGAUUUAUCGCCUUUGGAUGGGCCCGCGUUGGAUUAGCUAGUUGGUAGGGUAAAAGCCUACCAAGGCGACGAUCCAUAGCUGGUCUGAGCGGAUGAUCAGCCACACUGGGACUGAGACACGGCCCAGACUCCUACGGAAGGCAGCAGUGGGGAAUAUUGGACGAUGGGCGAAAGCCUGAGCCAGCAAUGCCGCGUGAGUGAUGAAGGCCUUAGGGUUGUAAAGCUCUUUUACCCGGGAUGAUAAUGACAGUACCGGGAGAAUAAGCUCCGGCUAACUCCGU